rnacentral:rRNA from 1 species
UUUUAUUUGAGAGUUUGAUCCUGGCUCAGGAUGAACGCUGGCGGCGUGCCUAACACAUGCAAGUUGAGCGAUUUACUUCGGUAAAGAGCGGCGGACGGGUGAGUAACGCGUGGGUAACCUACCCUGUACACACGGAUAACAUACCGAAAGGUAUGCUAAUACGGGAUAAUAUAUUUGAGAGGCAUCUCUUAAAUAUCAAAGGUGAGCCAGUACAGGAUGGACCCGCGUCUGAUUAGCUAGUUGGUAAGGUAACGGCUUACCAAGGCGACGAUCAGUAGCCGACCUGAGAGGGUGAUCGGCCACAUUGGAACUGAGACACGGUCCAAACUCCUACGGGAGGCAGCAGUGGGGAAUAUUGCACAAUGGGCGAAAGCCUGAUGCAGCAACGCCGCGUGAGUGAUGAAGGCCUUCGGGUCGUAAAACUCUGUCCUCAAGGAAGAUAAUGACGGUACUUGAGGAGGAA